UGCUGCUCCUGCAUCCAGUAAUGAUUCCCAGCAUUUGCUCCUCAAUGCGAUCUCCGCCGGGGGUUGGAAAUUGCAGUGGGCUGGGUCUAUUGUUCAACUGACGCACAGCUCCAGUUUACUGGGAGUGUAGGGCACCAACCUUAAGUCGAUUCCUUUCAGUUCCGGCUGCAGACUGUUGCUGCUCACGUGGGCUGCCUUGUUCAUCGCACAAUAAAUGCAAUUUCUGUUCAGGGAGGUUAUGGUUGCAGCUUUGGAGGCGUGUAUUUCAGAUGUCACGACUUUGACUUAAGUUAUUGAAAGGCUGAAUCGAUUUGGGAGGUAAUGCAAGGAACCCGAAUCCCCAGAAACAAAAUGUGGGCGAAAUUGACGCUCAUUGUGUGGCAGCACUUUAUUUUUGCCUCAGCUAGUGACUCGGCUACGCACGAAACAACACAAGCAGGUUUUUCAACAGACGUCAGUACAUUUUUAUCAGAAAAUUCAUCUACCACUUUUAGCUUUUCCACGCCUCUUACCACAACCUUGCAAAACGCAACGGCAUUCAGCACAAAACUAGGUCGCAGUUCAGAAGAAGGUGCAGAGACAAAGUCUACAUCCUCUUCCCUCGGUCAAACAUUUUUCUCAAAUACAAGUCACCCAACCAGCACUGUGCUCUCUACUGCGGCAAUGAAUCUCACUUUUCAAAACAACACAGCUCCUAAUGCCACGGCCGUGCCGACCACAAUAGCUCCCAAUGCAACUUCUAAUAGUUCAGUAAUAGUAACAAGUUACUCACCCAACAUAACAAAUAGUUCGUUAAAAGGAGAGAUUACAACUAGUACAACAGAUAAUCCGCUAACAAAUAGUACGGCCCAGACAACCUCACUGCACUCUUUCGCUGGCAAUAGUUCUUUCACAAGCGGAGAGCCAACCUCUCUUACAAAUAGCAUCGGAUACAGAGAGGUCACUGCAAUAAAAGUCUCUACUGCCACCUUUACAAAACCUGAUGCUUCUACCACCCUUUUAUCAUCAUCGAGCAAAGCCACCUUGCUAAGCAAGAGUCCCUCAAAUAAUAGCACGGAAGGAGAAAAUAGAUUUGCAGCUCCAGGCAAUGCAGUUACGUAAACUUACAGAUGGAAACAAAAUAGCUUUGAACAUUUGAAAACAAAACAGAAAAAAAAUUUCCAGUUAAAAGCCAUACAACUAUUAAAUAAAUACAAAUCAGGGAAAUAAUGAGGCUGAGUAUAUUUUAGGGACAGCAUUAAUUGUUGCAGUGUGUUUGAUUCUUAUUGCUGCAGCAUUAUUGGGAGUGGUGAUGUAUUUGAAGAAAAGGAGAGGGUUCUACAGCCGACUACAGGACGAAAAUCCAAUUGGAUCUUGGAGCAAUUACAAUAACCCCGUGUUUGAAGAUUCAUGACAUUAAAUCAAGAAAGUACAUGGCAAGAAGUUACAUAGAGCUUUGAAUAUAUUUCCUUUCAUUUGAAAUUUUAAAAAAACACAAAACGGGAUGAAAUUAAUCUUGUGUGUCAGCAAAGUUGACAUUUGUGAAUCAAUAACUGGUUUGCAUCCAUGUCAUUUUCCAUUAGUUCAGUUACUCAUUUUGCAUCUCUGCCAAAGAUCAACGUUACCCCCAAGUACUUCAUAUUUUUAAUUUUUUUGGAAUUCUAGGAAUGAAUUUCAGUGUUUGUCACAAUGUUUAAGUUAAUGGCAUCAAGUAUAUAUGAUAAAAAUAUUAAAUUACAGUGUCAGGGUCAGUGGUAUAGCAACUGCAACCUGAGUUAAUGCUUCAUAAAUUGAUCUUGCUUGCUUGUUUUUGCAAACAUAGGAUACAUUCUCUCCAAAUCUGCCUAAGCAGGAUAUUGGCUCUAUAUUGUUGAAAUGCACUUUAUUUUCUGCUAGUGCAGAUUAUUUUGAAGUGCCAAGCUGAGCUUUAAACUUAGUCAGUGUGGCUAUUGUACAUACAGACUGAAAAUUUGACUCAGUACAAACUAAUAUGUGAAAGAACAGUUCCUAUUCCUAGGAGAAGUAUGAUAUUUCUAUGAAUUAAUUGUCUACUACUUUGCAACUUGUGCUCAGAAGGCUUAUGGCCAUUGUCAGUAUGGUCAACCUUGGACACACAGUAUUUAUCCUAAAGUUUCUUCAAAUAAGGAGACUUUUAUUUCAGGCAAACUUGAAGUUUACCAACAUGUUAUUAUAACAUCAAUCAAGUUAGCGUAGUUGUAGGUUGACCUAGAAUGCUAAAAGUGGAUUCUAAACGUGUGAGAUGACCUUUUACUAAGGUCUUUGACCUUAUUCUAUGAAAAUACCUCAGUAGAAAAGGAUUACCAUUAUAAAAUCUAUCAGGAAUCUUGACACAUGCCUUUUAACUACAGAUUUAUACAGAAGAAUGAAGCAUGGCAAUGCAUUUUCUCAUAUAUGGCAGACAAUCAUAAUCUACUUCAUAUACUGGAAAUCAGAAAUAAAAACAGAAAUUGCUAGUAAUACUCAGGAUUUGUAGAGAGAGAACAGAGUUAAUGGUUCAGGUCAAUGAUCUUUAUUCAUUAACCUUUUUUGGAUUUCUUCUCUAAUAUACGGCAGGAAUUGAUGGGGUGUUUGGAUUGUGCAAAAUAACAAAUAUAUUACAUUUAUUAUGUGGGCCUGAAUUCAAUACUCUGCUUGGGAUUUUUAAGGACUAUCUAAAUGUAUUGUGAAAUAAUAUGCUUGGUAAGUGAUGCAUUUUUGUGAUAUUUGUCCAACAAACAUUUAAAUGUAAUAAAUUUUGUGUUAUCAACAUUUAGACGUGAAUAUAUUAUUACUGAUUUGUCUUGAAUAUUUCUGCAAGUAUCCUGGGAUAUAGUUGGGAGUAUUGGUUUCCAUUUUCUUUAAGAAAAUAACACAAACAUUUUGAAUAUUUUUACUGUAACAGCAUUGGCUACAAUCACAGAUUCCAAUGUUUCCUUAUUCCUGCUACCAAGAGUGGAAAAAUGAAGUUUUUCCUACAUUGUGCUUGGUCAUCCAAAAACUUUAUAAUUGUUCAACUGAGUCUUGAUGAACUUAAUGUCAGCUGGUAACACUUCAAUAAAAAAAACUUUGGCCUUCA